AACGAACGCUGGCGGCGUGCCUAACACAUGCAAGUCGAACGGAGAUAAGGGGCUUGCUCCUUAUUUUAGUGGCGCACGGGUGAGUAACGCGUAGAUAAUCUGCCUGAUGAUCUGGGAUAACAGUUCGAAAGGACUGCUAAUACCGGAUAAGCCCACGGGGUCUUUGGACUCUGCGGGAAAAGGGGGGGACCUUCGGGCCUUCUGUCAUCAGAUGAGUCUGCGUACCAUUAGCUAGUUGGUAGGGUAAUGGCCUACCAAGGCUACGAUGGUUAGCUGGUCUGAGAGGAUGAUCAGCAACACUGGAACUGAGACACGGGCCAGACUCCUACGGGAGGCAGCAGUGGGGAAUUUUGCGCAAUGGGCGAAAGCCUGACGCAGCAACGCCGCGUGAGUGAUGAAGGCUUUCGGGUCGUAAAGCUCUGUCAGAGGGAAAGAAGUGUAUUGUGGCUAAUAUCCACGAUACUUGACGGUACCCUCAAAGGAAGCACCGGCUAACUCCGUGCCAGCAGCCGCCGUAACAC
rnacentral:rRNA from 1 species